rnacentral:rRNA from 1 species
UACGGAGGGGGCUAGCGUUGUUCGGAAUUACUGGGCGUAAAGCGCACGUAGGCGGCUUUGUAAGUCAGAUGUGAAAGCCCCGGGCUCAACUUGGGAACUGCAUUUGAUACUGUCAGACUAGAGUACAGAAGAGGUGACUGGAAUUCCCAGUGUAGCGGUGAAAUGCGUAGAUAUUGGGAGGAACACCAGUGGCGAAGGCGGCUCACUGGACCGGUACUGACGCUGAUGCGCGAAAGCGUGGGGAGCAAACGGG